AAGACCUGCAAAAUUCUAAUAUGCAUAUGCUGAUUGCAACUCAACCGCUUUAAUUAAGCUAAAGCCUC
rnacentral:tRNA from 1 species